rnacentral:SRP_RNA from 1 species
GCCAGGUGUGGUGGCUCACGCCUGUAAUCCAACUACUUUGGGAGGCCGAGGCAGGUGGAUUGCUUGAGGCCAGGAGUUCAAGACCAGCCUGGCCAACAUGGCAAAACCCCGUCUCUA